GGGGUGUAGCUCAAUUGGUUAAGUUUUAGAUCUACUCUCUAGAGGUCAUUAGUUCGAGUCUCAUAAAUCUCA